rnacentral:rRNA from 1 species
GAGUUUGAUCAUGGCUCAGGAUGAACGCUAGCGGCAGGCCUAACACAUGCAAGUCGAGGGGUAACAGAGAAGCUUGCUUCUGCUGACGACCGGCGCACGGGUGCGUAACGCGUAUGCAACCUACCUCAUACUGGAGAAUAGCCCUUGGAAACGAGGAUUAAUACUCCAUAGUAUCAUUCUUUCGCAUGUUAGAAUGAUUAAAGAAUUUCGGUAUGAGAUGGGCAUGCGUCCCAUUAGCUAGUUGGUGAGGUAACGGCUCACCAAGGCGACGAUGGGUAGGGGGCCUGAGAGGGUGGUCCCCCACACUGGUACUGAGACACGGACCAGACUCCUACGGGAGGCAGCAGUGAGGAAUAUUGGUCAAUGGAGGCAACUCUGAACCAGCCAUGCCGCGUGAAGGAUGACGGCCCUAUGGGUUGUAAACUUCUUUUAUAUGGGAAGAAACUUAUCUACGUGUAGAUAACUGACGGUACCAUACGAAUAAGGAUCGGCUAACUCCGUGCCAGCAGCCGCGGUAAUACGGAGGAUCCAAGCGUUAUCCGGAUUCAUUGGGUUUAAAGGGUCCGUAGGCGGAUUUUUAAGUCAGUGGUGAAAGCCGGCAGCUUAACUGUCG